CACUCAUUCAUGACGAGUGAAAGCAUCCAAAGGAGAAAAGAGCCGCCUCUCGCCUCCAUUCAGCGGCCCAGGCCCCUAAUCUCCGCUGGGACGGCCCAUAAUGAGGAAGGAAGGGCCGACACUCACAUCAAGCACCGGCCUCUGUAAUGAAGGCACCGUGACAAUAGAAAACAUUUCACAGUGUAACGCGGACGGCCUCGUCUGCUGGAAACUUAAAAAAAACAAAAAAAAAACACUUCAAAUACUUUGCGUUUUAUAAAGCGCAUUCCUUUCUCCACAGAGCAGUAAUCACUGUGUCGCUAUAAUCACCAGUGUGGCAGAUCUACCGUUUUGAAUUGCUGAGCAUCAUCCUUUACACACAAUCUCUACUAUUUAAAACGUAGAAAUAUGAUCGUCGUCCACGCACCCGGUGGCCACGUACAAGAGGAGAAGAUGCCGGACUUGAGAUGAGACGUCUCGCUAAAAGCAACGAGAAGGACACAUUUUCAGCCCGGCCUCGGGAGAUUCAACCGCUAUGCGCCGCACAAAAAAAAAAAAAAAAAACGGCUAAAUUUGGAUCUGGGUCUGUGACCCUGUUUAACAAAAAGCUUUCAGAGACGCCCUUCACUUCACUCCGAGCUUCUCUGGACCACAGCUGCAAGUCUGCGUCCUGGUGUGAAGGUGCAAACAUGGAGUCCAGCGGGGCUCUGGAUGCUGGUGGCCCUUUGGAAACAACAUUUCAGCAUUAAAUAAGAGCACAACUGCUGAUACAAAGACUUUAUUCCAUGUUUAACCGCUCACAGUUAGCUCUCUUUGGAUAAAUGCGCCACAUUUUUUACCUGCAGGAGAACCAAACGGGACGACUCAUAGAAGAUCUGCUUCUGUCUGGUUAAAUGAAAUACCUUGUCCCGUGUCGGGUUCAAGCCCGUCUUCCCCAGAUAAAUACUCUCGUGACUACGGUGAUCUAAAUGGAGAGCGUCUCAGGUUGCUCUUUCCUAGCAGGGGGAUGAUACGGUUGCACAUUCUCCCUCGAGGAUCGGCCCUGAGAGGACGGACUGGUAUUCAGGAUUCGUGGGUCCCUCCUGUUCAUCUCCUCACCUGCCGACCGGCUCCUCUUUCCUCGGCUCCACGCCAAACACCGCGGACGUCUGAACUUCACGACGCAACUCGGACCCGACGUUUUGCUUCUUCGCUUCAGAAUCAGAAGCAACAAAUUGGUUGUCAGAUUUAAUGUGUCUUUU
ensembl:lncRNA